UUUUUCUUUUAAGCAUACACAUCGCAGAGCCUUUACAAUCAACGGCUAGUAGGGUAGAUUGACAAGUCACCAUAACACCACAGUUGCCAUCACCCACUGCCACCUUAUAACGGGAAUGCCACCUCGAGUGAAGGAACCGAACCAGUUUUAACUUACCAGACGGAGUGAUGCAAUGGUUCAGAACAAAGUCAACUAUUGCACUAUCCUUCAUUAGAGAUCAAAUCUAUCGCCUCGGUUCAUUUAAGGUCUUCCCCUCGAAAAAUUCACCUAACAUCCUUUCCAGAUCUUCUGCCGAAUACUUAAUGUACUUCUGGGGGUUCUUCCCGCUCUCAACUAGAAGCCCAAAACGUUUCACAAAAGAUCUGUAGGCAGGUAACAAGACUUCAGCAACUGCAAGCCUUAGUGACUCUCGCAACUCAGUGUCAGGAACAGUCCACUGAGAUUGUUUCUGGUGAAGCUCCUCGAAUUGCAUAUUGAAAGUCUUGAACCUGUCUUUAACCAAUCCUCUUGAAGCUCCACUUCCACUUCCUCCCUCACCAGGUACUUGACUACCACCCCCAGAAGAGGUUAGGCCUUGUGCAGAGAGACAUUGAAGAAUCUUUGCCCAAGCAUUCCUUUUGUACUGAUUUGCAUAUUGCUGCACAAUCCUUCUGUGUCUUUGGACCCAAUCAUCCCCUAACAAGUCCUUGGCUUCAGAUCUGCGCACAGAUCUGACCAUGUAGUGAAUAUUGUUCAUAAGAAACAAGUACGUCAAAGCUGGAUCUUUAUACUGCUUAGAUUUCCCAUCAAGAUUAGUUUGAAGAGCCUGCAUUAUUCGCAUUGUCACAGAAGCUAAUUGCGAAUUUGAUUCAGCUCCGCUUUCAAAUUCUUGGAAGAGUUGUUCCAAGGUUGAUUGGUAGUCAAAGAGAAACUUCACAUAGUUAAUCACAUAGCUUGUCAAAGGAUGAACAGUUCCAUCCAAUACAGCAGUUUUUGUUGCAUCUUUUUCAACUGCUUCUUCAAAAUCACCAAAUGUUUCUUGAGCAGUUUGUGCGAGCCGUUUAGUCAAACCAAAUGUAGAUUCCCUAAUUUCAGUGCAAGCUUUACCGUUGAAAACUGCCUCAAUCUCUGAGUGAAGUUCUCGCAUAAUCUCAUACAUGUCUAGAAGUACAAAUAACUUUUCUGGCGAUCUCUUGCUUCUGGCAAUUGCAUCGCCAAAGCUAAGAAGCAUUGAGACACUGCUAGUGGUACAUCCAGCAAAACACUGAUCAUGCAGUGUAUCAAACCCAUCAAAUAUUUGAUCACAAACUCUUCUUUCUCCAGCAAAAAGGACUUUGACAGCAAUGCGCAUAAAAUGAAUCCAAUUUCCAAUCUUUGCCUCUAACACCUCCCAUUGCAUCUUUUGCACAUCCUCUUUGCUUAGUUUUUCAACCCCCAACUUGUGAAGGCUUUCUUCCAAAACUGAAGAUCGGGUAUCCCCAUAAAUUUGAAGUAACUGCUGCUGGUGCCCAGCUUGAACCAUUUGUUGGGCUAAAUCAUGCAACAAAGGUAGAAUCCUUGGAGGUAUGAGAGUAAGAUGUUUAAAACCCACAGUUUCAGAAUUUUGCAGCUCAGAAUGAUUAUUAGCGGAAUGAAUUUUGCCACCAUCAUGGUUUGCAGGUGAUCCUGUAGAUGGUUGCAUGGACUCAGGGAGGCAUUCAAAAAGGCGAUCAGGCUCCACGGGCUUGCUGUAAGAUGAUAACAGCUGCUUAAACUCCUCUUCUAGCUUCAAAAUAGCUUUAGCAAGUAAAUUAUUUGCAUUAUUGAGCACUGCCUCACUGCUCUUAUAGCUUUUGUUGCUGCUGAAAAAACGAAUGUUGCUUCUUAGUUGAUCAAUUGCUGCUAGAUAACUUUCCAAGUCCUCAUGAGGUCCCCUAAGUAUUUUAGCCUCUGCCUGCCGAGAAAUAUCAAAUUGCGCCAAUAUAACCUCCGCAGCCUUUAAAGUCCUGUCAAUAUUCUCGUGAGCUUUCCUUAUAGAAUGUGUUCUUAUCUGAGUGGGACGCAUAGCAGUCUCGAGAGCGGAAAGGCGGCUGUCAAAGGACCCAAGAAUGGAGACAACGUUAUCAGUAAUAGUUUGGCUCUUUUGAAGAGCCUCUCUCAUCUUUGCCGCUCUGUCGCCGAGUGAAUCCAUGCCCGUCACUGAAACAACCAUGUUUCUUUCUCUCUUGCCUGCUCCUGGUCAGCAGAAGAAAGAGAGAGGAGAGAAUUUAGGCGAAAGAGGAAAUUGAGAAGAAGGAGGGGCAG
rnacentral:misc_RNA from 1 species